GCGCCAGUAGCUCAACUGGCAGAGCAGUGGGACGGUACCCCACGGUCCCGAGUUCAAGUCCCGGCCGACGCU